rnacentral:rRNA from 1 species
UACGGGGGGGGGCAAGCGUUGUUCGGAAUUACUGGGCGUAAAGGGCUCGUAGGCGGCCAACUAAGUCGGACGUGAAAUCCCCAGGCUCAACCUGGGAACUGCGUCCGAUACUGGAUGGCUUGAAUCCGGGAGAGGGAUGCAGAAUUCCAGGUGUAGCGGUGAAAUGCGUAGAUAUCUGGAGGAACACCGGUGGCGAAGGCGGCAUCCUGGACCGGUAUUGACGCUGAGGCGCGAAAGCCAGGGGAGCAAACGGG